UUACGCUGUAUUCCAACACGUAAUAUAUCUUCAUAUAAAUUUUUUAGAUUAUUUUUAUCGACAUAUAUUAUAAUCUAGACUAUUUGUAUUUUUAGUUAAAUAAUUCAGUAUUUUCCUUAAAGUAAUAUAUUCUUGGACAUUUCUAACAUUAAUUUUUUCCCAUCCGAUUGUUCUAAAUAUAAUCUAUUUUCUAUUAAAUGUAAUGAAUUUUCUUUUAUCAAUUUAUAUAAUCCUAAUCUUUGCAAUUUACCUUUUGUACUUGUUUCUUUAUAAUUUAUUGUUUUGGGUGUUAAUGAAGAAAGGGUUUUGCCAGGAGUAUCUGGUCUUGGAGAAAGUGUUGAUGUGGAUGGCAUGUUUAAUUCAACGGGUGUUAUGUUGGAUGUUCUGCAUAUAUUAAAUGAUGAUGGUGUUAAUUUUAAGGAAGAGUCUGGAGAGAGGAAGGAGAAGAUUCUGCUAAUGAUUUUGAUGGUGUUAGUUGUUGAUCAGAUGGUUCUUCCAAUACAGAAACAACGCGAACAGAAGUGGAUUCGGCUGCUUUGCUAUCAUUAUUUUUCUUUAUUUUACCUAUUUUAAUAAAAAAAUAAUUAAAAAUAAUAUAAUUAAAUGAAAAUUUUAUUUGAAAUAUUAAUAUUUACCUAUUAGUUCACCAAUAUUAUUGAAAAAGCAAUCAUAAUUGCUGCUACCUGUUUAUAUACUAUUCAAAACUAAUUUGC
rnacentral:lncRNA from 1 species